UGGCGGACGGGUGAGUAACGCGUGGGUAACCUGCCUCAUACAGGGGGAUAACAGUUGGAAACGGCUGCUAAUACCGCAUAAGCGCACAGUACUGCAUGGUACGGUGUGAAAAACUCCGGUGGUAUGAGAUGGACCCGCGUCUGAUUAGGUAGUUGGUGGGGUAACGGCCUACCAAGCCGACGAUCAGUAGCCGACCUGAGAGGGUGACCGGCCACAUUGGGACUGAGACACGGCCCAA
rnacentral:rRNA from 1 species